rnacentral:rRNA from 1 species
CCUACGGGUGGCAGCAGUGAGGAAUAUUGGUCAAUGGCCGUAAGGCUGAACCAGCCAAGUAGCGUGAGGGAAGACUGCCCUAUGGGUUGUAAACCUCUUUUAUGCGGAGAUAAAGGUGUCCACGUGUGGAUGUUUGCAGGUACCGCAUGAAUAAGGCCCGGCUAAUGCCGUUCCAGCCGCCGCGGUAAUACGGAAGGUCCGGGCGUUAUCCGGAUUUAUUGGGUUUAACGGGAGCGUAGGCCGGUCUUUAAGCGUGCCGUGAAAUUUUGUGGCUCAACCAUGCGAGUGCGGCGGGAACUGGAGAGCUUGAGUGUGCGGAAGGCAGGCGGAAUUCGUGGUGUAGCGGUGAAAUGCUUAGAUAUCACGAAGAACCCCGAUGGCGAAGGCAGCCUGCCGCAGCGUUACUGACGCUGAAGCUCGAAAGCGCGGGGAUCGAACAGGAUUAGAUACCCGUGUAGUC